CUACCCAGAAGAAAAGAGAACUUCAGGAAGCAAGCGGUGCGCCCUGCUUUCAGACCCAUUCUUAUUCUUUGCAGGGUCGUGGAGAGGGCAUUCACACCUCCAGGACCCGGCUAUGAACUCCUGUAAGCAGCAGUGGACACAGAGCACGAAGCCACGAGGAGCCACAUCGCCUGGGGCUAGAGCAGGGAUGGGAGGGGGCUCCUCAGCGAGCCAGGCUGGGCAUGCAGGAGCCACCUCCAUGGCCCCAACCCUUGCCUCCACCACGCCCCCGAAGGUCUUCCAGCUGGCCUCACACUCUGCGGGCACAUCUGACUCCACGGUGGCCCUGGGCUGCCUGGUCUCCAGCUACUUCCCAGAGCCGGUGACCGUGUCCUGGAACUCAGGAGCCCUGACCAGCGGCGUGCACACCUUCCCAUCUGUCCGGCAGUCCUCGGGGCUCUACUCCCUCAGCAGCAUGGUGACCGUGCCUGCCAGCAGCUUGAAGAGCCAGACCUACAUCUGCAACGUAGCCCACCCGGCCAGCAGCACCAAGGUGGACAAGAGAAUCGUCAUAAAAGAGCCUUGCUGCUGCCCCAAAUGUCCAGAUUCUAAAUUCCUAGGAAGGCCUUCGGUCUUCAUCUUCCCCCCGAAUCCCAAGGACACCCUCAUGAUCUCCCGAACGCCCGAGGUCACCUGCGUGGUGGUGGACGUGAGCCAGGAGAACCCCGAUGUCAAGUUCAACUGGUACGUGGACGGGGUGGAGGCACACACAGCCACGACAAAGGCGAAGGAGAAGCAGGAUAACAGCACUUACCGCGUGGUCAGCGUCCUCCCCAUCCAGCACCAGGACUGGCGGAGGGGUAAGGAGUUCAAGUGUAAGGUCAACAACAGAGCCCUCCCAGCCCCCGUCGAGAGGACCAUCACCAAGGCCAAAGGAGAGCUUCAGGACCCAAAGGUGUACAUCCUGGCCCCACACCGAGAGGAGGUGACCAAGAACACGGUCAGCGUGACCUGCCUCGUCAAGGACUUCUACCCACCUGACAUCAACGUCGAGUGGCAGAGUAACGAGGAGCCAGAGCCAGAGGUCAAGUACAGCACCACCCCAGCCCAGCUGGAUGGAGACGGGUCCUACUUCCUGUACAGCAAGCUCACUGUGGAGACGGACAGGUGGGAGCAGGGAGAGUCAUUCACGUGUGUGGUGAUGCACGAAGCUAUCCGCCAUACCUACAGGCAGAAGAGCAUCACCAAGUCUCCGGAGAUGGUCCUGGAUGAGAGCUGUGCCGAGACCCAGGACGGGGAGCUGGACGGGCUGUGGACCACCAUUUCCAUCUUCAUCACGCUCUUCCUGCUCAGCGUGUGCUACAGCGCCACCGUCACCCUCUUUAAGGUGAAAUGGAUCUUCUCCUCGGUGGUGGAGCUGAAGCGGACGAUCGUCCCUGACUAUAUGAACAUGAUCGGGCAGGGGGCCUAGGGUCACUCACCUCGGCGGGCGUCCAAGGCCACCCCAGACGUUAGCCAGCAUCCAGAUCCAGCAGCUCAUGCUGUGCAGACCUGUUCCUCUGCCUUCAGACCUCGCCAGACUCGGACCUACCACCCUCUGACCUUAUGGCCACCUUUGGCCUGCACCGCACCCUCUGGCCUUGCAGCCACUGCACGCUACAUCCUGCCCCUUGACUGCCAGCGGAGAAUGGAGUGAACAGGAGUUGAAACCCAAGCACAGCUGAUGGACCACGACUGGCCCCUGCAUAGCAGCCACCACAAAAGGCCAGGGCCAUGUGGACGCUGAGGCCUUGGGGCCAAGUGUCCCUUACCAGGACAGACCCAGGGUUGCAGUGUCAGUCACCCUGGAGAAGGUGGAGGGCCAGCCUUCCUGUGGCUGUCUGGGCAGGGACAGGCCUUCCUGUGAAUCACAUCCCUGCUGGGCUCCUGGAUGCAGGAGGAAACACCUGGUUUCAGAUCCUUGAGUGGGAGCAUCUGCCACAAGGCCCGGAGGCCCCGGGGCCAUCGUCCACCAGCAGGGAAGCUUCUCGAUGUGCCCCUCACGGUCACUCGGAUCACCGUCACCUGAAGAGACUGCUAGGAGGAGGGCCUGCACCCAUGGCCAUGGCAGGAACCCUGGCAGGUGGGGGUAGCACCACUGGGGAGGGUCAGCCUCCAGCCAGACGGCCCCAUGGGGAGGGGCCCGAGUCCCCUUCCACAGGAACUCCAAGUUGCUCCACGGGGCAGUGGGGAAGAGACAAGAACACCGAGGAGAGAGCCGGGGCCUCAGGUAGUCAAGGCAGGUGGACCCAACGAGACCCCCGACCUCACCAACCCAGGAACCAGUGCCCCCUCACGUCUCUGAGCAAAGGGCAAGUCAGCAUCUCUGGACGGGGAGGACACGGCUGCCGACAGGAAGCAGAGGCGGCCCCGCCCCGCCUGCCAGGGCCCUGCAGAGAGACGGCUCAAAGGAAAGCCCACAGUGGGAGCUUGGGUAGCUUUUCGCCUUCUUGAAGUUUCUGUAGCCCAUCGAUUGCCUUUACAGUUUCUUUUUCUAAAACAACAAUAAAAUACCUGGAAAAUUCCAUAACUGCC